ACAAAGAACAAUGGGCAGCUAAGAAAUUCUGAAAGCAUGAGAAAUGAUCAUCUUCAGGCAGAUUGAGAAAAGAGAUUGAGAACAAUAAAAAUGAGUAUCAUUCCAAUGCCUCAAUAGAAGCAUGCCUAUAAUGGACAUAACAAGAAUUCCUGACUACUUUAUGAAAAAUCUCUGAGCACACAGAGAACAAAGCUGACAUGAAGGAUGCCAUAGCAACCGGCCACUAGAAGCUGCACCAAAUGAAUUCCAGGGUGGAACCCAACAACAGCGAGCAAAUCUUCGACUAAAUUAUUAUGGGUAACAUGAGCACCAUUGCGUCAACCAAGCUUGAGAAGAACCCCCCAGUCAUCUAAUUCACCAUCAUAAGUAUGGAUGACUGCAGUCGUGGGAAAGGCACAAAUGUAGAUCCACAAGGAACUAGCUUUGGAGACAUAAUCUUCUCAGGUAUUGCUCUAGAAAGAGAAAUUUCCAGCCACAAACGCCUUGCAUCCAGGAAUAUGAUCAAAGAAACCAAGGCUUGAGCUCUAUCAUUAUUCUUUUUAAGGAUGUUUGUAGGGUGUAAACAUUUCAGGCUUAGCAGCUGAGUCUAGUUUCUUUAAUGCUAUCUUUGAUUCAGCAUUGCUUGACAGACUAUUAAGGAAAUGUUGAUGAUGCAGGAAGGCCAGUGUGCUGGUUAACAUGAUUAUUUUACAGAGCACUGUGUAUUCAUUAAUAGCAAAUAAAUUCUCACAGUAUUCUUCUUUGCUUCUUUCUCAAAAUCUGUUAUUUAGGUCUGUUCGGUCUCAAUACUGUUGGUGAUAAAAAUACAGAAUAUAACAUUUGUUUCAGAAAAUGUGACCUGUGACUUUUCUCUUUGGUAAGCAAAAUCAGAGGUUAAUUUUAAGAAAGUCUGAUACUACUGAGCUGUCUGUUAACCACAAGCUUCACAAUUUCAGAAAAAAAUGUAGCAUUUAUAUCUCAAAUCCAACCUACUGAACAGCUGAGGCUUUAAGGGCUCAGUAAGUAGGGAAUCUCCUGUGAAAAUAUCAAAAUGGUACAAUACUAAAGUAAGAAAUGUAUACAUGUUCUUAUAAAUACCUGAAUAAAUUAUAGGUAAAUAAUAAGAAAAUGCAUACAAUGCAGAAUGUGAUGAAUACAAGCCACAUAAAGUGAGAACUGAAUGUUAGUAAGCUAUUUAAAAUUUAUAUGAAAACAUUGAUGCAAAGCUGCAUAGAAAUUUUUUGAAGUUUUGUUUUGACUGAAAAUGGAAAAAAUGUAAUUUUUCAGUAAUAUAAUACUAGUUACAUUUUUUUGGCAGCUCAACAGUGUGUUAGAGUAUUGCAAUCACAAAUAACAUUGGAAAUAUCUUAUGAAAUGAAAAACUAAUAAACAAAAAAUAGGUUAUCAAAUACUGUUAUAGUGUAGACCUGUUUUGGUAAGUCACAAAUUCAUAUGCAGAAAAAUUUGUCCUUUUAGAAUUUGGAAAGUUAAAAUGCUUCUGUAGUUAAAUUCCUUCUGUACUACAAUGUCAAUAUAAUGUUUAUGCAA